GAUGAACGCUGGCUACAGGCUUAACACAUGCAAGUCGAGGGGAAACGACGGGGAAGCUUGCUUCCCCGGGCGUCGACCGGCGCACGGGUGAGUAACGCGUAUCCAACCCGCCUCUGACUGAGGGAUAACCCGUCGAAAGUCGGCCUAAUACCUCAUGGCAUCGUCUGCGGGCAUCCAACGACGAUUAAAGAUUUCAUCGGUCAGAGAUGGGGAUGCGUCUGAUUAGCUUGUUGGCGGGGUAACGGCCCACCAAGGCGACGAUCAGUAGGGGUUCUGAGAGGAAGGUCCCCCACAUUGGAACUGAGACACGGUCCAAACUCCUACGGGAGGCAGCAGUGAGGAAUAUUGGUCAAUGGGCGAGAGCCUGAACCAGCCAAGUAGCGUGCAGGAUGACGGCCCUAUGGGUUGUAAACUGCUUUUAUGCGGGGAUAAAGUGAGGGACGUGUCCCUCAUUGCAGGUACCGCAUGAAUAAGGACCGGCUAAUUCCGUG
rnacentral:rRNA from 1 species